rnacentral:rRNA from 1 species
GACGAACGCUGGCGGCGUGCUUAACACAUGCCAGUCGAACGGAAAGGCCCUGCUUUUUUGGGGUUCUCGAGUGGCGAACGGGUGAGUAACACGUGAGUAACCUGCCCUUGACUUUGGGAUAACUUCAGGAAACUGGGGCUAAUACCGGAUAGGAGCUCCUGCUGCAUGGUGGGGGUUGGAAAGUUUCGGCGGUUGGGGAUGGACUCGCGGCUUAUCAGCUUGUUGGUGGGGUAGUGGCUUACCAAGGCUUUGACGGGUAGCCGGCCUGAGAGGGUGACCGGCCACAUUGGGACUGAGAUAAGGCCCAGACUCCUACGGGAGGCAGCAGUGGGGAAUAUUGCACAAUGGGCGGAAGCCUGAUGCAGCAACGCCGCGUGCGGGAUGACGGCCUUCGGGUUGUAAACCGCUUUCGCCUGUGACGAAGCGUGAGUGACGGUAAUGGGUAAAGAAGCACCGGCUAACUACGUG